rnacentral:rRNA from 1 species
UACGGGGGAGCAAGCGUUGUUCGGAUUUACUGGGCGUAAAGGGCGCGUAGGCGGUCGUGACAGUCACUUGUGAAAUCUCCGGGCUUAACUCGGAACGGUCAAGUGAUACUGUCGGACUAGAGUACAGAAGGGGCAACUGGAAUUCUCGGUGUAGCGGUGAAAUGCGUAGAUAGUCGAGAGGAACACCUGGCGGCGAAGGCGGGUUGCUGG